rnacentral:lncRNA from 1 species
AGUAUUCAUCAACCAAUUUUAGCCCUCUUUCUAAAUAGGAAUCCAAUUCUCUUCGGUAAAGAGGUUUCCUAUUUGCAGUCAAUGGAUCAUAUUCUCACACUCAUACACUACCAUGAACACAGCAAGUGCACAAUCGCUACUACUGUGAUAACCUAAGGUGCUGGUGCUAUAGUUCCUGGCAAUGGUAGCCGGGGGGAAAAAAUCUAGAUACCAAAUCACAGAUCACAACCAGAUGGAGUACUCCCUUGUUUUAAUAUUACCAUACAAACAGAAAACAGGGCUUAUUCAAACAGUCAAAGAAACGUGCAUUCCUCCUUGCAGUGCUGGGGGAAGCUGUUUGUGUCUCUAUAGACGUGGAGAGAACAGGAACACAUGUUUUCUGUACUACAUGGCUAAUGCAGGAUACAGGGCUGCAGUUGUUGGGUGAAGCUUUGCCCGAAAGUUGAGAAAUGGGUGCAGCGCAAGGAUGCAGAACAGGAGUCGCAGACCAAAGCAGAGAUCCAGGAUAUGAAGCAAGAGUUAUCCGCGGUCAAUAUGAUGGACAAGUUUGCCAGAUCUGCCAGGCUGGAAAGAAAGAUCAACAAGAUGAUGAAUAAGCUCAAAACUCAUGUGAAAGUACAGACAGCUCAAUCAGGAAUGCUAAAAUGGGUUAUAAGUGUUGCUUUCUACAAAUUGCCAGGUACCGUGAUCAGGCUAUAAGGCAGUCUUGUGGGGUUAUCCAUUACUUGACAGGGUCUCGCUCUGUUGCCCAGGCUGGAGUGCAGUGGGCCAUCUAGGCUCACUGUAGCCUCUGCCACCCGGGUUCAAGUGACCUUCCCACUUCAGCCUCACAAGUAGCUGGCACUAAAAGUGCUUGCCACCAUACCCGGAUAAUUUUCAUAUUUUUUGUAAAGACAGGGUCUCACCAUGUUGCCCAGACUGGUCGCGUUUUCUUCCUCUGUUUAAAAUGGCAUUUGUUGGACAAGCAUUUGUAUAGUACUAUGUACUUACUUGAAGCUGUUAAUUUUUCAUUACAAUGUUUUGUAAAUUUCUUCAUGAGGCCAUAAUGCAUUGUUUUGUGCUCAAAUUUUGCAUUGUAUUUAAAGCAUUCAAGUGAAAUAUAUUUUAUAUAACAUUUAAUAUUUAUGCUCUGUUGAAUGGAAAGAGGUAAAAAACAAAUUUAGGAAGCCUGGUUAAAUUAAACUGAACUGAAACCUGUUUGGCCCAUAAAGCAUAACUCUGCUAAACCUAUUUUUUAUACACAUUUUUCUAAUUAAAAUUUUUGCAAGUG